rnacentral:lncRNA from 1 species
GAAAGUCAAAAAGGAAGAGAGCAUAAGAAGAAGCACUAAGAUCAUGAGCCCUUACCAUUGACCUAACCCAUGAGUGUUUGUUUCACCAUUUACAACUUGGUUCUAGCACUAUCCCCCACUAUUGAUUAAAAAAACCCUAAUUGUGUGUGUGUGUGUGUGCACUUGUGGCUUACCUUCUUAUUGCAAAUCAUUGGCUUAGUCUGCCUUAAUUAGAAUCAUUGGCCCUCUUUGGACAAGGUAUGCAACUGCCACA